rnacentral:piRNA from 1 species
UAAAGUUUUUCGGAGCUAAUG